rnacentral:rRNA from 1 species
UGGGGAAUAUUGGACAAUGGGCGCAAGCCUGAUCCAGCCAUGCCGCGUGAGUGACGAAGGUCUUCGGAUUGUAAAGCUCUUUUACCAGGGACGAUAAUGACGGUACCUGGAGAAUAAGUCCCGGCUAACUUCGUGCCAGCAGCCGCGGUAAUACGAAGGGGGCUAGCGUUGUUCGGAAUUACUGGGCGUAAAGCGCACGUAGGCGGAUUUGUAAGUCAGGGGUGAAAUCCCGGGGCUCAACCUCGGAACUGCCUUUGAUACUGCAAGUCUCGAGUCCGAUAGAGGUGAGUGGAAUUCCUAGUGUAGAGGUGAAAUUCGUAGAUAUUAGGAGGAACAUCGGUGGCGAAGGCGGCCAGCUGGGCCGUUGCUGACGCUGAGGCGCGAAAGCGUGGGGAGCAAACAGGAUUAGAUACCCACGUAGUCCCUGAGCGGGCUGGCAAGGCGCAU